UACGUAGGGUGCGAGCGUUGUCCGGAAUUAUUGGGCGUAAAGAGCUCGUAGGCGGUGUGUCGCGUCGGCCGGUGAAAACCUGCAGCUUAACUGUGGGCUUGCGGUCGAUACGGGCAUCACUGGAGUUCGGCAGGGGAGACUGGAAUUCCUGGUGUAGCGGUGAAAUGCGCAGAUAUCAGGAGGAACACCGGUGGCGAAGG
rnacentral:rRNA from 1 species